UGGAAGUUAAAAAGUCGUAACAAGGUUUUCCGUAGGUGAAACCUGCGGAAGGAUCAUUAAAAAAAUGUGGUUACCAAUUUAUUGGUACUAAAUUAAUCAUCCUACCCUUUUGUGAAAUUUUGUUUUGUAAUGAAUUUUUUUUUAAAUGGGUCUUUCCCUAAGUUGGAUUGUUAGUAAAAAUACAAAAAAGACUUAGGGGAAUGACUUUUUUUAAAAGACUUUUUUUUUUAAAUUAAAAACUUUUUUGUAUUCAUUUGUCUAAAAAUUUAUUUUUAUAAUAUAAAAACAACUUUUUGACAAUGGAUCUCUUGGUUCUCGCAAACGAUGAAGAACGCAGCAAAAUGCGAUAAGUUAGUGUGAAUGCAGAAUACGUGAAUCAUCGAAUCUUCGAAACGCAUAUUGCAACUUUUUUUUAGUUUACUAAAAAAAGUUAUGUCUGUUUGAGUAUCAGUAAAAAUAUUCUCACAAACAUAUAUUGUUUGUGGGUUAUGAGUGUUUUUACAAACGAUAAAACAAGUUGUUUUCACUUUAAAUUCUUUUUGUAAAGUUUUUACUACCAAUUUUACAAAUUUAAAAUUGGAUAAAAAUUUUCCUUUAACGAGGAAUAACCUAAAACGAUUUUAAAUUUUUUGGUUUGUAAAAUCCAUAAAGGAAAUCUAUACAUAAAUAACUUGAUCUCAAAUCAGUAAGAGUACCCGCUGAACUUAAGCAUAUCAAUAAGCGGAGGAAAAAGAAAACUAACAAGGAUUCCCUUAGUAACGGCGAGUGGAAAGCGGGAAGAGCUCAAAUUUUGAAAAUCUUCAAGGUUUGACCUUGAACGAAUUGUAGUUUAUAGAAGUUGUUUUCUGUUGGAGUUUUUGGUAAAAGUUCUUUGGGAAUAGGGACAUCAUAGAGGGUGAGAAAUCCCGUAUUUGACCAUGACUUUCCCAGCGUGUGGAUACACUUCAAAGAGUCGGAUUGUUUUGGGAAUGCAGUCCAAAAUGGGUGGUAAAUUUCAUCUAAAGCUAAAUAUUGGCGAGAGACCGAUUAGCGAACAAGUACCGUGAGGGAAAAGAUGAAAAGAAACUUUGAAAAGAGAGUUAAAACAGUACGUGGAAAUUGUCAAAAGGGAAGCGUUUGACACCAGUGGUUGUUUUUCUCGAAAAAUCAAUUUAACGAGUUCUUGUUUUUAAGUUAUUGUGACUUUAUCAGCGGCAUUUUCUUAUUUUUACUUGACUCAUUGAAUGCAACUUUUCGUUUUAACAAGUCAACAUCAAUUUUCUUUUGGUGGUAAAAAAGUUUAAAGGAAGGUGGCUUGGACUUCGGUUCAAGUGUUUUAUAGCCUUUUUUUCAAUGCCAUCGGAGAGAUUGAGGUCUGCAAGCGUAGAUCCUUCGGGGUUAGAUACCUUUUGUGCUAAGUUAUAGUUUUUAUAAGAACAACUUUGUUGAC
rnacentral:misc_RNA from 1 species